UGACCAGCCAUCCCCGCGUGCAGGAUGAAGGCCCUAUGGGUUGUAAACUGCUUUAGACUGAGAAGAAACCCCUCAAUGCGUUGGGGGCUGACGGUAUCAGUACAAUAAGCACCGGCUAACUCCGUGCCAGCAGCCGCGGUAAUACGGAAGGUGCAAGCGUUAUCCGGAAUCACUGGGUUUAAAGGGUGCGUAGGCGGCUUGAUAAGUCAAAGGUGAAAGCCCGCACCUUAACUGCGGAACUGCCUUUGAUACUGUUGAGCUUGAAACAGGACGAGGUUGGCGGAAUGUGGCAUGUAGCGGUGAAAUGCAUAGAUAUGCCAUAGAACACCGAUUGCGAAGGCAGCUGGCUAGACCUGAUUUGACGCUGAGGCACGAAAGCGUGGGGAGCGAACAGGAUUAGAUACCCUGGUAGUCCACGCCCUAAACGAUGCUCACUCGACGUACGGUAGGAAUAUUGUGCGUCCAAGCGAAAGCGAUAAGUGAGCCACCUGGGGA
rnacentral:rRNA from 1 species